rnacentral:rRNA from 1 species
CACGUAGGGCGCAAGCGUUGUCCGGAAUUAUUGGGCGUAAAGAGCUCGUAGGCGGUCUGUUGCGUCCGCUGUGAAAACUCGGGGCUUAACCCCGAGCCUGCAGUGGAUACGGGCAGACUAGAGGUAGGUAGGGGAGAAUGGAAUUCCCGGUGUAGCGGUGAAAUGCGCAGAUAUCGGGAGGAACACCGGUGGCGAAGGCGGUUCUCUGGGCCUUAACUGACGCUGGAGGAGCGAAAGCAUGGGGAGCGAACAGG